rnacentral:rRNA from 1 species
GCUCGAGUGGCGAACGGGUGAGUAACACGUGGGUGAUCUGCCCUGCACUUCGGGAUAAGCCUGGGAAACUGGGUCUAAUACCGGAUAGGAGCCAUUUUUAGUGUGAUGGUUGGAAAGUUUUUCGGUGUAGGAUGAGCUCGCGGCCUAUCAGCUUGUUGGUGGGGUAAUGGCCUACCAAGGCGGCGACGGGUAGCCGGCCUGAGAGGGUGGACGGCCACAUUGGGACUGAGAUACGGCCCAG